UACGUAGGGGGCAAGCGUUGUCCGGAUUUAUUGGGCGUAAAGAGCGUGUAGGCGGCCUGAAAGGUCAGCUGUGAAAACUCGAGGCUCAACCUCGAGACGUCGGUUGAAACCAUCUGGCUAGAGUCCGGAAGAGGAGAGUGGAAUUCCCGGUGUAGCGGUGAAAUGCGCAGAUAUCGGGAAGAACACCGAAGGCGAAAGCACUCUGCUGGGCCGAAACUGACACUGAUAAGACGAAAGCCUAGGGGAGCAAAUGGG
rnacentral:rRNA from 1 species